rnacentral:misc_RNA from 1 species
AAGUCGUAACAAGGUCUCCGUUGGUGAACCAGCGGAGGGAUCAUUACAGAGUUACUACUCCAAACCCAUUGUGAACCUUACCUAUGUUCUGUUGCCUCGGCGGCGCGGUCAGCGCCCCUCUGAAAAGAGGACGAUGCCCUCCCCGCCGGCAGCACCAAACUCUUGAAUUUUACAGCGGAUUACAGUUCUGAUUUAAAAACAAAAAACAAGUUAAAACUUUCAACAACGGAUCUCUUGGUUCUG